GACGAACGCUGGCGGCGUGCUUAACACAUGCAAGUCGAACGGAAAGGCCCUGCUUUUGUGGGGUGCUCGAGUGGCGAACGGGUGAGUAACACGUGAGUAACCUGCCCUUGACUUUGGGAUAACUUCAGGAAACUGGGGCUAAUACCGGAUAGGAGCUCCUGCUGCAUGGUGGGGGUUGGAAAGUUUCGGCGGUUGGGGAUGGACUCGCGGCUUAUCAGCUUGUUGGUGGGGUAGUGGCUUACCAAGGCUUUGACGGGUAGCCGGCCUGAGAGGGUGACCGGCCACAUUGGGACUGAGAUACGGCCCAGACUCCUACGGGAGGCAGCAGUGGGGAAUAUUGCACAAUGGGCGGAAGCCUGAUGCAGCAACGCCGCGUGCGGGAUGACGGCCUUCGGGUUGUAAACCGCUUUCGCCUGUGACGAAGCGUGAGUGACGGUAAUGGGUAAAGAAGCACCGGCUAACUACGUGCCAGCAGCCGCGGUGAUACGUAGGGUGCGAGCGUUGUCCGGAUUUAUUGGGCGUAAAGGGCUCGUAGGUGGUUGAUCGCGUCGGAAGUGUAAUCUUGGGGCUUAACCCUGAGCGUGCUUUCGAUACGGGUUGACUUGAGGAAGGUAGGGGAGAAUGGAAUUCCUGGUGGAGCGGUGGAAUGCGCAGAUAUCAGGAGGAACACCAGUGGCGAAGGCGGUUCUCUGGGCCUUUCCUGACGCUGAGGAGCGAAAGCGUGGGGAGCGAACAGGCUUAGAUACCCUGGUAGUCCACGCUGUAAACGGUGGGUACUAGGUGUGGGGUCCAUUCCACGGGUUCCGUGCCGUAGCUAACGCUUUAAGUACCCCGCCUGGGGAGUACGGCCGCAAGGCUAAAACUCAAAGGAAUUGACGGGGCCCCGCACAAGCGGCGGAGCAUGCGGAUUAAUUCGAUGCAACGCGUAGAACCUUACCUGGGUUUGACAUGGAUCGGGAGUGCUCAGAGAUGGGUGUGCCUCUUUUGGGGUCGGUUCACAGGUGGUGCAUGGCUGUCGUCAGCUCGUGUCGUGAGAUGUUGGGUUAAGUCCCGCAACGAGCGCAACCCUUGUUCACUGUUGCCAGCACGUUAUGGUGGGGACUCAGUGGAGACCGCCGGGGUCAACUCGGAGGAAGGUGGGGAUGACGUCGAGUCAUCAUGCCCCUUAUGUCCAGGGCUUCACGCAUGCUACAAUGGCUGGUACAGAGAGUGGCGAGCCUGUGAGGGUGAGCGAAUCUCGGAAAGCCGGUCUCAGUUCGGAUUGGGGUCUGUAACUCGACCUCAUGAAGUCGGAGUCGCUAGUAAUCGCAGAUCAGCAACGCUGCGGUGAAUACGUUCCCGGG
rnacentral:rRNA from 1 species